rnacentral:rRNA from 1 species
UAAACGAUGUCGACUUGGAGGUUGUGCCCUUGAGGCGUGGCUUCCGGAGCUAACGCGUUAAGUCGACCGCCUGGGGAGUACGGCCGCAAGGUUAAAACUCAAAUGAAUUGACGGGGGCCCGCACAAGCGGUGGAGCAUGUGGUUUAAUUCGAUGCAACGCGAAGAACCUUACCUGGUCUUGACAUCCACGGAAGUUUUCAGAGAUGAGAAUGUGCCUUCGGGAACCGUGAGACAGGUGCUGCAUGGCUGUCGUCAGCUCGUGUUGUGAAAUGUUGGGUUAAGUCCCGCAACGAGCGCAACCCUUAUCCUUUGUUGCCAGCGGUCCGGCCGGGAACUCAAAGGAGACUGCCAGUGAUAAACUGGAGGAAGGUGGGGAUGACGUCAAGUCAUCAUGGCCCUUACGACCAGGGCUACACACGUGCUACAAUGGCGCAUACAAAGAGAAGGGACCUCGCGAGAGCAAGCGGACCUCAUAAAGUGCGUCGUAGUCCGGAUUGGAGUCUGCAACUCGACUCCAUGAAGUCGGAAUCGCUAGUAAUCGUGGAUCAGAAUGCCACGGU